GACGAACGCUGGCGGCGUGCUUAACACAUGCAAGUCGAACGGUAAGGCCCUUCGGGGUACACGAGUGGCGAACGGGUGAGUAACACGUGGGUGAUCUGCCCUGCACUUCGGGAUAAGCCUGGGAAGCUGGGUCUAAUACCGGAUAGGACCUCGCACUUCACGGUGGGUGGUGGAAAGCUUUUGCGGUGUGGGAUGGGCCCGCGGCCUAUCAGCUUGUUGGUGGGGUAAUGGCCUACCAAGGCGACGACGGGUAGCCGGCCUAAGAGGGUGACCGGCCACACUGGGACUGAGAUACGGCCCAGACUCCUACGGGAGGCAGCAGUGGGGAAUAUUGCACAAUGGGCGCAAGCCUGAUGCAGCGACGCCGCGUGAGGGAUGACGGCCUUCGGGUUGUAAACCUCUUUCAAUAGGGACGAAGCGCAAGUGACGGUACCUAUAGAAGAAGGACCGGCCAACUAUGUGCCAGCCGCCGCAGUAACAC
rnacentral:rRNA from 1 species